rnacentral:snRNA from 1 species
GUGCUUGCUUUGGCAGCACAUAAACUAAAAUGGAAAUGAUACAAAGAAGAUUACCAUGGCCGCUGCACUAGGAUGACACGUAAACUUGUGAAGCAUUCCGUAUUAUA